rnacentral:rRNA from 1 species
UACAGGAGGGGCAAGCGUUGUUCGGAAUUACUGGGCGUAAAGGGCGCGUAGGCGGCCUUCUAAGUCGAACGUGAAAUCCCCGGGCUCAACCCGGGAACUGCGUCCGAUACUGGAAGGCUUGAAUCCGGGAGAGGGAUGCGGAAUUCCAGGUGUAGCGGUGAAAUGCGUAGAUAUCUGGAGGAACACCGGUGGCGAAAGGCGGCAUCCUGGGCCGAAUCU